rnacentral:rRNA from 1 species
CCUACGGGUGCUGCAGUGGGGAAUAUUGGACAAUGGGCGAAAGCCUGAUCCAGCCAUGCCGCGUGUGUGAAGAAGGCCUUCGGGUUGUAAAGCACUUUCAGUGGGGAAGAAAGCCUUGGGGCUAAUACCCUCGAGGAAGGACAUCACCCACAGAAGAAGCACCGGCUAACUCCGUGCCAGCAGCCGCGGUAAUACGGAGGGUGCGAGCGUUAAUCGGAAUUACUGGGCGUAAAGCGCGCGUAGGCGGUCUGAUAAGCCGGUUGUGAAAGCCCCGGGCUCAACCUGGGAACGGCAUCCGGAACUGUCAGGCUAGAGUGCAGGAGAGGAAGGUAGAAUUCCCGGUGUAGCGGUGAAAUGCGUAGAGAUCGGGAGGAAUACCAGUGGCGAAGGCGGCCUUCUGGACUGACACUGACGCUGAGGUGCGAAAGCGUGGGUAGCAAACAGGAUUAGAUACCCUUGUAGUC